UAACACAUGCAAAUCGAGCGAGACCUUCGGGUCUAGCGGCGGACGGGUUAGUAACGCGUGGGAAUAUACCCUUCUCUACGGAAUAGCCCAGGGAAACUUGGAGUAAUACCGUAUACGCCCUUCGGGGGAAAGAUUUAUCGGAGAAGGAUUAGCCCGCGUUGGAUUAGGUAGUUGGUGGGGUAAUGGCCUACCAAGCCUACGAUCCAUAGCUGGUUUGAGAGGAUGAUCAGCAACACUGGGACUGAGACACGGCCCAGACUCCUACGGGAGGCAGCAGUGGGGAAUCUUAGACAAUGGGCGCAAGCCUGAUCUAGCCAUGCCGCGUGGACGAUGAAGGCCUUAGGGUUGUAAAGUCCUUUCAGCUGGGAAGAUAAUGACGGUAC
rnacentral:rRNA from 1 species